rnacentral:rRNA from 1 species
ACGGAGGAUGCAAGCGUUAUCCGGAUUCAUUGGGUUUAAAGGGUGCGUAGGCGGAAUGAUAAGUUAGUGGUGAAAGCCCUCGGCUCAACCGAGGAACUGCCAUUAAUACUGUCAUUCUUGAGUAUAGUUGAAGUGGGCGGAAUGUAUCAUGUAGCGGUGAAAUGCUUAGAUAUGAUACAGAACACCGAUAGCGUAGGCAGCUUGCUAAGCUAUAACUGACGCUCAGGCACGAAAGCGUGGGGAGCAAACAGG